CAGUCCACCAGUUCCUCUGCAGAGAAGCUCUCUUCUCGCCCAGCAAGUAUUCUGUGCUUUUGGAUUGAGGCCAGGAGGGGAAAUCCAUUUUCCAUAAAGAAUGCACACAGCUCAAGUGCUUGAAGAUUUUUUUUAACCUACUAAAAUAACUUUGUGGACAAAUGCCAGCUUGCAAGACACGUUCGGCAAAGAACAUUUGGCAUCAAAAACAAGAUUUCAUUUGCAAAUCCAGCAGUAGCUAUGAGUCUAAGAGAAAUUCGAAGUUGUGGAUCCAAUCCUUCAGGAGUGGUGCCAUUCAUUCCAGAAUCAAGAGUCGACCAAAAUACAGAAUCUCAGCCACAUGGAGCAGUCUGGUUGAAACAGAAAACAAGUCUGGGAAAAAACUGACAUCUAGCCAAGAGUUCAAAUCUGUUCAAAGAAGUCCUCUGAAUUUCACAUACUUUUCGCUUCAAUUUUAA
rnacentral:lncRNA from 1 species